rnacentral:rRNA from 1 species
GUCCUAGCCGUAAACGGUGGGUGCUAGGUGUGGGGGGCGGUAUGUUCCUCCGUGCCGCAGCUAACGCAUUAAGCACCCCGCCCUGGGGAGGUACGGCCGCAAGGCUAAAACUACAAAGGAAAUUGACGGGGGCCCGGCACAAGCGGCGGAGCGCGUUGCUCAAUUCGAUGCAAAGCACAGAACCUUACCAGGGUUUGACAUGCUGACAGUAGGAACCGGAAACGGGACCGACCCGUAGAGUCGGGUAUCAGCACAGGUACUGCAUGGCUGUCGU